rnacentral:lncRNA from 1 species
UGUCUUUCAGCACAAUCCUUGGCUCAAAUAUUACAUUUUCAGGUGUUCCAGUUUGGACCUUACACAUAACCAAAUGUUCAUAUAGCAAAGACUUUGUGCCAACUGAAGCCUGUUCAGAGAUACAACCAUUUAUUUAGGUAACAGGAUCAGGAGAGCCCAAACCUAUGUGGGUAUGCAGAUCUGAAUGAGACAAGAUUGAGACUGCCCUGGAACAGAGCACAAGAACGGAACACAGGAGCAUGGGGAAAAACCCUUUAACCUUAACUUUAGUGGU